rnacentral:rRNA from 1 species
AUUGCACGCUGGCGGCAGGCCUAACACAUGCGAGUCGAGCGGAGCUGCGGACGGGUUAGUAAUGCCUAGGAAUCUGCCUGGUAGUGGUGGCUAACGUCCGGAAACGGGCGCUAAUACCGCAUAAUAUCAGAUGAGCCUCGGUCGGAUUAGCUAGUUGGUGGGGUAACGGCCUACCAAGGCGACGAUGCGUAACUGGUCUGAGAGGAUGAUCAGUCACACUGGAACUGAGAAACGGUCCAGACUCCUACGGGAGGCAGCAGUGGGGAAUAUUGGAAAAUGGGCGAAAGCCUGAUCCAGACAUGCCGCGUGUGUGAAGAAGGUCUUCGGAUUGUAAAGCACUUUAAGUUGGGAGGCGUUACCAACAGAAUAAGCACCGGCUAACUUCGUGCCAGCAGCCGCGGUAAUAC